AGAUCAGAAGGUGAUUGUGGC
rnacentral:miRNA from 3 species